CAAGGAAUUUUCCGCAAUGGGCGCAAGCCUGACGGAGCGACGCCGCGUGGGGGAUGACGCAUUUCGGUGUGUAAACCCCUUUUCUGGGGGAAGAAGGAAGUGACGGUACCCCAGGAAGAAGGACCGGCUAACUACGUGCCAGCAGCCGCGGUAAGACGUAGGGUCCGGGCGUUGUCCGGAGUUACUGGGCGUAAAGGGCGCGUAGGCGGUCUUCUGCGUCACACGUGAAAGCCCCUGGCUCAACCAGGGAGGGUCGUGUGAAACGGGGGGACUGGAGGCAGUGAGAGGCUGGUGGAAUUCCCGGAGUAGUGGUGAAAUGCGUAGAGAUCGGGAGGAACACCGGUGGCGAAGGCGGCCAGCUGGCACUGACCUGACGCUGAGGCGCGAAGGCAUGGGGAGCGAAC
rnacentral:rRNA from 1 species